AAGCCCUCGGCCUCCAGAAGUCUCUGGGUUCUGCAACAGCCGGCCCGAGCCCUGGACGUUCGGGACGCUUGGGGAGGCUCUGCUGGUGCCCAGGUCUUACCAUCAGUUGCCUCCCAUCCAGCUCCUCCUUCGUCCGCUGCUGCGGGCACCCGGCAGGGACCCGAGCUUCUGCGUGGAGGUUUUGGAUUUAAAUGCCUAGUGCCCGGGAAAGGGACCGCGGUCCCAGAGCACCGCCGGCGUCUUGGGUGCCAACACCGCGGUGCAUCAAGGCAGAGAUGAGCGCAGCCACGAGGGCGGGUGGAAGGAUUCGGGACCGGCAGCCGCUUGGCGCACAGCGGGGAAGGACACCUGUCUUCCCAGCCUCCUGCUGCCCGGAAACCCCCCGGCACUCCAUUGCCCACCGCGGGUCCCGGGAAUGCUGCGGGCGGAGGAGGGUGGCCGGGUCGCCCCUCCCGGGCCUUGCGGUCCUGAGAAAGCAGAAGCUAGCUCCUCCAGGGAAUCCCA
rnacentral:lncRNA from 1 species